UUGACCAUUUUGAUAUUGUUUUCUCCCCCCUUUACUUUUUAUGUUUAUGAAUUUUAUCACUUUUAAUCAUAUGAUAAAAGUGUCAUCAAUAUCUCAAAGGUCAACUGUUAAAGGAAACCAACUCAUCAGAUCCUCUUCUAUGCAUCCUCAUCUUUUCACCGCCUCCCCCGUCUCGGUUCACCAUCGCCUCCUUCUAUGCUUCUAUUUGCUUUCCACCUGCGACCACCACACUUGAGCAAACCCCACCUUCGCCACUAUUACGAGUUCCUCGACAAAUCUAGCGUCUUCCUCCACCAACAACGUCACAGAUUUGAAGAUGCAUAUUAAGUGCUUGAUGAAAUGCUUGAAAGAAUUGUCGACACACUUGAAUCAGGCUAGAACACUUCCAUUUCGAGCACAAAACACCUGUUUUUCGAUCGAUUGAAGCUGUGUUAGUAAUUAAUGAAUCUGGGUUAUGAUUAAUUGAAGUGGGUUUUCAUCGGAAAGUGUUCUUCACAUAUUUAAAAGACACCUGUAUGAGAAUAUUUGUGACCCCAACGGGAUGCCUUUGGAGGUUUUCCCUUGGGUACAAGCGUAUACUGCUCUUUAUUGGUGAGUGAGCAAAAAACGAAAUACCAUGCAAACUCGCUUAAAGAGGCGAAGAAGGUUCAAUGUCCAUUUAUGUAAGACAUUCACCGACUGUUUCAACUUUGAAUGCUUUUAAUGAAUCAAGCGUUUAGCUUCCAUUUUUCUGCAAUGAUCUGUUUUUUUAGAUAUUGGAUUAAAGUAAGCAAUAUCAUAUCCACCAUUUCAAAUCUAUUUCAGUGAUUGUCUUUCCAGUCAA